GUUCCGGUGGCCAAGUGGUUAGAGCGUCCGCCUCGGAUGCGAGCGGUUGUGGGUUCAUUCCCUGUCCGAGUCA